rnacentral:rRNA from 1 species
UACAGAGGGGGCAAGCGUUUGUUCGGAAUUACUGGGCGUAAAGGGCGCGUAGGCGGCCUUCUAAGUCGAACGUGAAAUCCCCGGGCUCAACCCGGGAACUGCGUCCGAUACUGGAAGGCUUGAAUCCGGGAGAGGGAUGCGGAAUUCCAGGUGUAGCGGUGAAAUGCGUAGAUAUCUGGAGGAACACCGGUGGCGAAGGCGGCAUCCUGGACCGGCAUUGACGCUGAGGCGCGAAAGCCAGGGG